AUCCUUGGGUGGUUUAUGAGUGUGAUGGUUGGGCGUUCACACCAUGUGUGAGAUGAGUUCCUGAGCCUUGUUAUGAUGUGGCGCUGUCACGUCUGAUG
rfam:Tupaia chinensis contig193061, whole genome shotgun sequence.